rnacentral:rRNA from 1 species
UGCCAGCCGCCGCGGUAACACGGAGGUUGCGAGCGUUGUUCGGAUUUACUGGGCGUAAAGGGAGCGCAGGCGGCCAGGCCAGUCUAAAGUGAAAGCCCGGGGCUCAACCUCGGAAUGGCUUUGGAUACUGCUUGGCUUGAGUACGUGAGAGGUAGGCGGAAUUCCAGGUGUAGCGGUGAAAUGCGCAGAUAUCUGGAGGAACAUCGGUGGCGAAAGCGGCCUACUGGCACGAAACUGACGCUGAGGCUCGAAAGCGUGGGGAGCGAACGGGAUUAGAUA